rnacentral:rRNA from 1 species
AGCAGUAGCCACGGGAAUACGAAGGGGGCUAGCGUUGCUCGGAAUGACUGGGCGUAAAGGGCGCGUAGGCGGCGAUCAAAGUCAGGCGUGAAAUUCCUGGGCUCAACCUGGGGGCUGCGUUUGAUACUUGAUUGCUAGAGUGGGGAAGAGGGUCGUGGAAUUCCCAGUGUAGAGGUGAAAUUCGUAGAUAUUGGGAAGAACACCGGUGGCGAAGGCGGCGACCUGGUCCUUGACUGACGCUGAGGCGCGAAAGCGUGGGGAGCAAACAGGAUUAGAUACCCGAGUAGUCCCUGUCUCUUAUAC